rnacentral:rRNA from 1 species
UACGAAGGGGGCUAGCGUUGUUCGGAAUUACUGGGCGUAAAGCGCGCGCAGGCGGUCUUCCAAGUCAGUGGUGAAAGCCCGGAGCUCAACUCCGGAACUGCCAUUGAAACUGUGAGACUUGAGGAUGAGAGAGGUGAGUGGAAUUCCCAGUGUAGAGGUGAAAUUCGUAGAUAUUGGGAAGAACACCGGUGGCGAAGGCGGUUCUCUGGGCCUUACCUGACGCUGAGGUGCGAAAGCGUGGGAGCAAACAGG